GACCGACUUCCAAGCGUAGGGAUGUCCAGGUCCAAGAGGCAUGACAGUACCGAUGACAGGAUCAGCGCCCUCCCUGACGAGCUGCUCCACCACAUCAUGUCCUUCCUGACGCCGCGGGAGACUGUGCAGACAUGUGUGCUCUCAAGGCGGUGGCAGACCACCUGGGUAUCAGCGAGGUGCCUCAUCAUCGACUCGGACCAGUUUUGCAUCUUGUGGGAGCUCAAAACGUUUCUGGACAAUUUACUUCUGGACCGUGGGUGCACAUCACUCGAUAAGUUCUGGCUCCGCAUCAUCUUUGGCAACGUUUAUCCUGACAAUGUAAUGGAUUACUGUCAAAUCCGUCCGUGGGUCUGCCAUGCCCUUCGGUGCAACACCCAGGUUCUUGGCAUAGUUCAUGACGGUGAACUUCUUACCAUUUCAAAUGCCUUCACCUCAUCAAAUCUGAAGAGGUUGCACCUUUGUAAAUUUGAGGUUGAUGACUGGUUCGUCGAGAAGCUAUUUUCCGGAUGCCCGAAAUUGGAAGAAUUAGAACUGAUAUGCUGUUUUGUUAACAUCGUCAUGCUUUCGUCUGCCAAACUUAAGAGAUUGACUGUUACCACUUCUGAUGAUCGGUCAGUAGCAUGUUUGGGCUAUGAGGAUCUUGUAAUAGAUAUGCCAAAUCUGGUCUCGUUAGACAUAAAGGAGAUCCCUGAUAGAAAUCCAUAUUUCCUGAAUUUGUCAUCGUUGGACACUGCCUCAGUUUGCCUUACUACAGUCUCUUUCAAAGAUUCUGAUGUUGACUGCAAUGUUCUCAGUGCUCUUUCAAAUGCCACCAGCUUGAGGUCUCUGUCUCUUACUGUCAAUGAUGAAGAGGCAAUAAAGGUAGUGGGAAGGGAUGCGCUAAGGUGUGGUACAUUCAGCAACCUGAAAACUUUAUCGCUGGGUGAAUGGUGCUUGGGCUCUGGCUGCAGGGUGCUACUCCACUUGCUCCAGCGGUCGCCUAAAAUACAGAAACUUAUCCUGCAUCUUACAGAUUUUUUCUUGUCAGGUUGGAGCUUCUCAGAGCGAUCAGCAGCAUGCUGCUGCAGUAACAGAUCCAGACUGCAAUCAAACAGAAACACCAUUCAAUUGUGAGAAUCUUAAGAAAAUUGAAAUCAACUGUCCACAAGGCGAUAAAAGAAUCCAUGUCAUUGUGAGGAUCUUAUUUGAGAACAUUACCUCUCCAACAGAAAUUAAUAUCACAAGCCAUUAGCUAUUUAGAGGUGAUAUGGUUUUUUUUGGCCAGGAUUAUCAAGCUUUGGUCUAGGCGCUUCUGAUUCCUGGAGGACUUCUGCUCCAUUUUGAAACAUUAGUUGCAGUUUUUUUUUGUUUAUCUGCCACAUGGUGUUUGUGUGUGCUGUUAAGCUUUUAUUGCCGACUUUAUCGAAUGUGAUUUUAUCAUGUUGACAUAUAUAGUGCAUUUGUUUCUGCAAAAUUUAUCUUGGACA